UUCAAUUCCUUCCUCAUAUUUAAUAUUUAAAUUGGAAUUGAUAUUAAUCUUUAAAUUGGAAUUGAUAUUCAUUUGGUCUCUAGAUGUCGAUCUCGUUUCUGUAAGAUUUUAUUCUCUUUUAAUGGUGUUGUUAGGCAUUACAUUAGCACUAAGAAGAAGGCAACUUCACGAAUAUAUUAAAUGUUAAGAACCCUAGCUAAUAUUGAUUAGAGUAUCAGUCAAUUUCAGAAAUUGUUUGGGUUUUUACUUCGAUUCAUCAGUUUCUAGUGGCAGGAUCCAUUUCAAUUUAGAUUGUUAGGGUUCUACUUGGAUUCUUCAAUUUCUAAUGACAAGAUCCAUCUCAAUUUUAUUUGUUAGGGUAUAUACUUUGAUUCCUAAAAUUGGGUUUCAGUCAGUUUUCGGAAAUUAUGAGGGUUUCAAGUUAACCGAGUUAAUAAGAUAUGUGCUUUACUUGAUCAUUAUCUGCCUAGAGUUUAUGAAACUUGAUUAUGGUGAUGGUACACAGUAGUGUUAGAGUUUGAGUUGAUAUUGUAGUGUUGUGUGUUGUUGAAAAUUGUACUUCAGAUAUGGUUUUAUAAGAUUAUUUCUCAUUCUUUCUGAUAGCUAUCACUUGUAGUACUAUGAAAGUUGAAGUUGGUGGAGAUGUCUGAACUUCCUAUGCCCAUGUUAUGUUUUCUUCUCGGGCUCGGUUCAACUUCACUGGUCUUGGUGGCCUCUUUCUCAAAAUAGUGCUACAUCAAAGUGGUUUACAAAAAGUAACGGUUGUUGGAUGUUGAUGCAAUCAUAACUUAGGAAGGUGUUCCAAUUGUCAACCAAUUUACUGUUGUUGCCUGGGAGGUCUACUAAUACAAGUAUAACUGUUGGUGUCCAACCAUCACUGAAUCCUCCUCCUUGGACAGGGGUUGUGCCUUAGGCAGUGUAUUUAUUAGUGCUUGAGAAGGAAUUAGUUCAUCCUCCACUACGUAAGUCUUCUAAGCUGCAAGUCAAAUGCAUCUAGCAGAAAGCAGAGGGGAAUCAUGAUUUCAACAACUUAAAUUGAAGAUGCCCGACUUCCAGGAUAUUGGGAUCCCUAUACCUUCGUAUAGCUAUUGUUGCUUGAAUGAACUUCAGGAAAUGAGCAGCUGCAAGUGUUUAUAUUGAUUUUAGAAAGGAAAAUCCAGAAUGCGGUGAUGAAACUAUGGAAAAUGCGAUACAGAAGGAGUACUUGGAGAUAAUUUAGUAGGUGGCCAAAAACUUUGAUAAAUCAUACAAGAAUCUACCUAAUUGGACUGGCAGAAUUAGGUGAUAAUUUUAAUAAAUUGAAUUCCGUAUUAAUGUUUUGGAUGUUUAUUCUUUUUUGUGUAUGUGAGUUUGGGAUGUUAAUGUAAACCUGAAUCCAUAUUUGAAAUAAAAUUAAGGCAUAUUAACUUUCAAAUGAA